rnacentral:lncRNA from 1 species
AUUGCUGUGACUGACUGUGACUAGCUGUGAUUAGCUUAGGCAGCCUUAAACUCCCCUCAGACCAGAGAGGCAUUUGUGAAAGAAAGUCUCCUGGUUUCUGUCUCAUGGUUUUAAACCUGCUUUUCAGUGUUGAGGCCAGAACAGCAACUGUACUUUAUGCUGGGUCUGACAUAGGGUUGAGACAGCAUUCCCUCACAUCUCUUCUUCUUCUCUGGAGCGCUCUGUGUCAGUGUCUGUAGAAUAAAGUGGGUCUGAGAGCUUCACAAUGCACUGCUGAAACUUCUAGAAACUUCUUCAGGCCCUGGGGAUUAGAGGACUUGGCUUUUUGUUUGUCAUUAUAAAUAUGUAUAAACUUGCAGGCUGACAUAUAUCGUACAAAUCACUCAAGUGCUAAACUCUCUGGAACACACACACACACACUCUCACACACACUCACACUCCCAGACACUCACUCACAGACACUCACGCGCAUGCAAGAAUGAUCAAAGUGAACCGUGCUCUGUGAGAAACAGAGUCUUUUUUAGCUGCGUUCCCAGAAUGCACUGACAUUCAGGAGUCUAUAGUAAACAUUUCAGCAUGGCCCCAGGCCCACAUUUUGUGAUUCCAACACAACCCCCCCCCCCCCCUCCAAACCCCCCCACACACGUGUGAGUGACAUUUCGCCGCCUCUUUGCUUAAGAUGUUCAAUCUCGGCCUGCAUCUACUGCGUUUUCCUUUAACACCUUGAUGUGUCGGUGCCCUCUCCAAAUCACAGUGGGGACUUUACAUUCAAUUACUUUCAGCGAUUCUGCAAAAUGUCAGAAAGAAAUGACGGCAGGCCCUGUCCGGCACGCCGCCUCUGAAGAUGGAGAUUUGGAAUCAUGGUCUACUUUGAAAGUCAUAUGCAGUCUGCGCCUCUGCAGGUCAGCCGGUUAUUGAAGAUCAGUGCGCUGUUCCAGAGUCAGAAAAACACUACUUCUGCCACUGAUACCACUGAGACCUCACACAUCAUGUUCAGGCCAUCACAGUGUCCGAGUUUACCCAACACUCACACUCUGGACUGGUUGUACAGGUGAGUCUGGUAGAUCAGUACCGGCAGGUGAACCAGGAAGUUGCGCAGUGAAACAGAAACUUUCACAGCAGAGCUCCACUGUGCUGCAGUACACACUGACAGACAGACAUACCGACAGAGAGACAGACAGGUGUUUGUAGAGUAGAGUUAGUUCAGUAUUAAUGUGUAAUGAGUUUACAGCAUGCACGGCUCUGUUCGCUACAGUAAGCUAGCCUCAGCAGAGCCCGCGGAGGAGCCGCAGAGUUCCCGCGCUGAGGAGCAGCAGCAGGAGGAGGAGAGUGACGGGGGAGAGGUGACAGUUUACCU